rnacentral:rRNA from 1 species
AUUGAACGCUGGCGGAAUGCUUUACACAUGCAAGUCGAACGGCAGCACGGGUGCUUGCACCUGGUGGCGAGUGGCGGACGGGUGAGAAUGCAUCGGAACGUGCCGUAUAGUGGGGGAUAACGCAUCGAAAGGUGUGCUAAUACCGCACACGCCCUGAGGGGGAAAGUGGGGGACCGUAAGGCCUCACGCUAUACGAGCGGCCGAUGUCCGAUUAGCUAGUUGGUGGGGGAAAGGCUCACCAAGGCGACGAUCGGUAGCUGGUCUGAGAGGACGACCAGCCACACUGGGACUGAGACACGGCCCAGACUCCUACGGGAGGCAGCAGUGGGGAAUUUUGGACAAUGGGGGCAACCCUGAUCCAGCCAUUCCGCGUGAGUGAAGAAGGCCUUCGGGUUGUAAAGCUCUUUUGUCAGGGAGGAAAUCCUUAGCGUUAAUACCGUUGGGGGGUGACAGUACCUGAAGAAUAAGGACCGGCUAACUACGUGCCAGCCGCCGCCGUAA